AAUGAAUUGCCUGAAAAAAGGGUUAUCUUGAUAGGAUAAAUUAUGUGAUAAUUUUACAUUCAUUA
rnacentral:tRNA from 1 species